rnacentral:rRNA from 1 species
UCAAGUGAAGAAGCGCAUACGGUGGAUGCCUUGGCAGUCAGAGGCGAUGAAAGACGUGGUAGCCUGCGAUAAGCUUUGGGGAGUCGGCAAACAGACUGUGAUCCAGAGAUCUCUGAAUGGGGGAACCCACUCAGCAUAAGCUGAGUAUCUUGUACUGAAUACAUAGGUGCAAGAGGCGAACCAGGGGAACUGAAACAUCUAAGUACCCUGAGGAAAAGAAAUCAACCGAGAUUCCCUUAGUAGUGGCGAGCGAACGGGGACCAGCCCUUAAGUUGAUUUGAGAUUAGUGGAACGCUCUGGAAAGUGCGGCCAUAGUGGGUGAUAGCCCCGUACACGAAAAUCUCUUAUCAAUGAAAUCGAGUAGGACGGAGCACGAGAAACUUUGUCUGAAUAUGGGGGGACCAUCCUCCAAGGCUAAAUACUACUGACUGACCGAUAGUGAACCAGUACCGUGAGGGAAAGGCGAAAAGAACCCCGGAGAGGGGAGUGAAAUAGAACCUGAAACCGUAUGCGUACAAGCAGUGGGAGCCUACUUUGUUAGGUGACUGCGUACCUUUUGUAUAAUGGGUCAGCGACUUAUAUUCAGUGGCGAGCUUAACCGAAUAGGGGAGGCGUAGCGAAAGCGAGUCUUAAUAGGGCGUUUAGUCGCUGGGUAUAGACCCGAAACCGGGCGAUCUAUCCAUGGGCAGGUUGAAGGUUAGGUAACACUGACUGGAGGACCGAACCGACUACCGUUGAAAAGUUAGCGGAUGACCUGUGGAUCGGAGUGAAAGGCUAAUCAAGCUCGGAGAUAGCUGGUUCUCCUCGAAAGCUAUUUAGGUAGCGCCUCAUGUAUCACUGUAGGGGGUAGAGCACUGUUUCGGCUAGGGGGUCAUCCCGACUUACCAAACCGAUGCAAACUCCGAAUACCUACAAGUGCCGAGCAUGGGAGACACACGGCGGGUGCUAACGUCCGUCGUGAAAAGGGAAACAACCCAGACCGUCAGCUAAGGUCCCAAAGUCAUGGUUAAGUGGGAAACGAUGUGGGAAGGCUUAGACAGCUAGGAGGUUGGCUUAGAAGCAGCCACCCUUUAAAGAAAGCGUAAUAGCUCACUAGUCGAGUCGGCCUGCGCGGAAGAUGUAACGGGGCUCAAACCAUGCACCGAAGCUACGGGUAUCAUCUUACGAUGAUGCGGUAGAGGAGCGUUCUGUAAGCCUGUGAAGGUGAGUUGAGAAGCUUGCUGGAGGUAUCAGAAGUGCGAAUGCUGACAUGAGUAACGACAAUGCGAGUGAAAAACUCGCACGCCGAAAGACCAAGGUUUCCUGCGCAACGUUAAUCGACGCAGGGUUAGUCGGUCCCUAAGGCGAGGCUGAAAAGCGUAGUCGAUGGAAAACAGGUUAAUAUUCCUGUACUUCCAGUUAUUGCGAUGGAGGGACGGAGAAGGUUAGGCCAGCCUGGCGUUGGUUGUCCAGGUUUAAGGUGGUAGGCUGAAAUCUUAGGCAAAUCCGGGAUUUCAAGGCCGAGAGCUGAUGACGAGUUGCCUUUAGGCGACGAAGUGGUUGAUACCAUGCUUCCAAGAAAAGCUCCUAAGCUUCAGAUAACUGGGAACCGUACCCCAAACCGACACAGGUGGUUAGGUAGAGAAUACCAAGGCGCUUGAGAGAACUCGGGUGAAGGAACUAGGCAAAAUGGCACCGUAACUUCGGGAGAAGGUGCGCCGGCGAGGGUUAAGGACUUGCUCCGUAAGCCCAUGCCGGUCGAAGAUACCAGGCCGCUGCGACUGUUUAUUAAAAACACAGCACUCUGCAAACACGAAAGUGGACGUAUAGGGUGUGACGCCUGCCCGGUGCCGGAAGGUUAAUUGAUGGGGUUAGCGCAAGCGAAGCUCUUGAUCGAAGCCCCGGUAAACGGCGGCCGUAACUAUAACGGUCCUAAGGUAGCGAAAUUCCUUGUCGGGUAAGUUCCGACCUGCACGAAUGGCGUAACGAUGGCGGCGCUGUCUCCACCCGAGACUCAGUGAAAUUGAAAUCGCUGUGAAGAUGCAGUGUAUCCGCGGCUAGACGGAAAGACCCCGUGAACCUUUACUAUAGCUUUGCACUGGACUUUGAAUUUGCUUGUGUAGGAUAGGUGGGAGGCUUUGAAGUGGGGACGCCAGUUCUCAUGGAGCCAUCCUUGAAAUACCACCCUGGCAACUUUGAGGUUCUAACUCAGGUCCGUUAUCCGGAUCGAGGACAGUGUAUGGUGGGUAGUUUGACUGGGGCGGUCUCCUCCCAAAGAGUAACGGAGGAGUACGAAGGUGCGCUCAGACCGGUCGGAAAUCGGUCGUAGAGUAUAAAGGCAAAAGCGCGCUUGACUGCGAGACAAACACGUCGAGCAGGUACGAAAGUAGGUCUUAGUGAUCCGGUGGUUCUGUAUGGAAGGGCCAUCGCUCAACGGAUAAAAGGUACUCCGGGGAUAACAGGCUGAUACCGCCCAAGAGUUCAUAUCGACGGCGGUGUUUGGCACCUCGAUGUC